rnacentral:rRNA from 1 species
ACGAACGCUGGCGGCGUGCUUAACACAUGCCAGUCGAACGCUGAAGCUUGGUGCUUGCACUGGGUGGCUGAGUGGCGAACGGGUGAGUAAUACGUGAGUACCCUGCCCUUGACUCUGGGAUAAGCCUGGGAAACUGGGUCUAAUACUGGAUAUGACAUGCCACUGCAUGGUGGUGUGUGGAAAGGGUUUUACUGGUUUUGGAUGGGCUCACGGCCUAUCAGCUUGUUGGUGGGGUAAUGGCCUACCAAGGCGACGACGGGUAGCCGGCCUGAGAGGGUGACCGGCCACACUGGGACUGAGACACGGCCCAGACUCCUACGGGAGGCAGCAGUGGGGAAUAUUGCACAAUGGGCGGAAGCCUGAUGCAGCGACGCCGCGUGAGGGAUGACGGCCUUCGGGUUGUAAACCUCUUUCAGCACGGAAGAAGCGAGAGUGACGGUACGUGCAGAAGAAGCGCCGGCUAACUACGUG